GUUGUAUGGUUAAGUGACUAAGCGUACACGGUGGAUGCCUUGGCAGUCAGAGGCGAUGAAAGACGUAGUAACUUGCGAUAAGCCCAGAUUAGGUAGUAACAACCAUUUGAGUCUGGGAUUUCUGAAUGGGGAAACCCACGUGCAUAAGCACGUAUCCUUACCUGAAUACAUAGGGUAAGGAGGCGAACCGGGGGAACUGAAACAUCUAAGUACCCCGAGGAAAAGAAAUCAACCGAGAUUCCGAAAGUAGCGGCGAGCGAAAUUGGACUAGCCCUUAAGCUUUACACGCGUUAGACGAACGGUCUGGAAAGUCCGACGAUACAGGGUGAUAGUCCCGUAGUUGACGACGUGUGUUCAGUGAAAUCGAGUAGGGCGGGACACGUGAUAUCCUGUCUGAAUAUGGGGGGACCAUCCUCCAAGGCUAAAUACUACUGACUGACCGAUAGUGAACCAGUACCGUGAGGGAAAGGCGAAAAGAACCCCUGUGAGGGGAGUGAAAUAGAACCUGAAACCGUGUACGUACAAGCAGUAGGAGCACCUUCGUGGUGUGACUGCGUACCUUUUGUAUAAUGGGUCAGCGACUUAUAUUCAGUGGCAAGGUUAACCAUCUAGGGGAGCCGUAGGGAAACCGAGUCUUAACUGGGCGUUCAGUCUCUGGAUAUAGACCCGAAACCAGGUGAUCUAGCCAUGGGCAGGUUGAAGGUUGAGUAACAUCAACUGGAGGACCGAACCGACUAAUGUUGAAAAAUUAGCGGAUGACUUGUGGCUAGGGGUGAAAGGCCAAUCAAACCUGGAGAUAGCUGG
rnacentral:rRNA from 1 species